rnacentral:snoRNA from 12 species
UACCGUGCGGUGAUGACAGUGCAGCUGCUGAGACGCUGUGAUUUCUCAGUCUCAAAGUAAACGCCCUGAGGCACGUGGG